CAGCAGCCGCGGUAAUACGGAGGUGGCAGGCGUUACUCGGAUUGAUUGGGUGUAAAGGGCGUGUAGGUGGUAAAUUAAGUCGAUUGUGAAAUCCCUUGGCUUAACCAAGGAACUGCAUUCGAAACUGAUUUGCUUGAGUGAUAGAGAGGUAAGUGGAAUUCCCGGUGUAACAGUGAAAUGUGUAGAUAUCGGGAGGAACACCAGUGGCGAAGGCGACUUACUGGCUAUCAACUGACACUGAAACGCGAGAGCUAGGGGAGCAAACAGGAYUAGAUACCCUGGUAGUCCUAGCCGUAAACGAUGUUCMCUAGGUGUCGGAGCUCUGGG
rnacentral:rRNA from 1 species